AAAAAUAGAAAGGGGCUCAGCAACACCAAUAGCAUAGGAGAGUUGGACAAGGCAGCGGCGAGCCAAACCAGCAGCAACCAAAGAUUUGGCAAUCCAACGAGCAGCAUAGGCGGCAGAACGAUCGACCUUGGAGUAGUCUUUACCAGAGAAGGCACCACCACCGUGAGCACCCCAGCCACCAUAGGUAUCAACAAUAAUCUUACGACCAGUGAGACCAGCAUCACCUUGAGGACCACCAACAACGAAACGACCAGAAGGUUGGAUGUGGUAAACAGUCUUCUCAUCUAACAAAUGAGCAGGGACAGUAGGCUUAAUGAUCUUCUCCAAAAUUUCAGAACGCAAGUCUUCAGUAGAGAUGCUAUCAGCGUGUUGAGCAGAGACGACGAUGGUAUCUACACGACGGGGGAUGACAGCACCGUUUUCCUCUUCAUAUUCAAUAGUGACUUGAGUCUUGGUAUCAGGACGCAACCAUGGAAGAGAUCCAUCACGACGAGCGACAGACAUGGCAGCAUUGAGUUUGUGAGCAAGGAGAAUGGUCAAAGGUAACUUCUCGGGGGUCUCAUCAGUUGCAUAGCCAAACAUAAUACCCUGGUCACCAGCACCGAGCUCUUCCAAAGCCUUCUCAUAGUGAAGACCUUGAGCGAUAUCAGGAGAUUGUUGCUCGAUGGCGACGAGGACGUUGCAAGUCUUGUAAUCGAAACCCUUCUCAGAGUCAUCAUAACCGAUGCUCUUAAUGGUAUUACGAAUAACCUUUUGGUAGUCAAUUUGUGAGCGAGUAGUAAUUUCACCAAAAACCAUUACCAUACCGGUUUUGGAAGCGGUCUCACAUGCUACCUUGGAAAAGGGGUCAUCCUUCAAACAAGCAUCCAAAAUAGCGUCAGAUAUUUGGUCGCAAAUUUUGUCAGGAUGACCUUCACCGACAGAUUCAGAAGUAAACAAAAAAGUUUGAGCCAUUGGGGAAUCCAAGAUACUUGUAAAGGAAAUAUGGAAUCAAAAAACUAGAAAAGAUUGAACAAUAAGACAAGCGAUUAGUUUCGUCAAAUAUAAGGA